rnacentral:rRNA from 1 species
CCUCAAAGAGGGGGACAACAGUUGGAAACGACUGCUAAUACCGCAUAAGCCCACGGGUCGGCAUCGACCAGAGGGAAAAGGAGCAAUCCGCUUUGAGAUGGCCUCGCGUCCGAUUAGCUAGUUGGUGAGGUAAUGGCCCACCAAGGCAACGAUCGGUAGCCGGACUGAGAGGUUGAACGGCCACAUUGGGACUGAGACACGGCCCAGACUCCUACGGGAGGCAGCAGUGGGGAAUAUUGCACAAUGGGGGAAACCCUGAUGCAGCGACGCCGCGUGGAGGAAGAAGGUCUUCGGAUUGUAAACUCCUGUUGUUGAGGAAGAUAAUGACGGUACUCAACAAGGAAGUGACGGCUAACUACGUGCCAGCAGCCGCGGUAAAACGUAGGUCACAAGCGUUGUCCGGAAUUACUGGGUGUAAAGGGAGCGCAGGCGGGAAGACAAGUUGGAAGUGAAAUCCAUGGGCUCAACCCAUGAACUGCUUUCAAAACUGUUUUUCUUGAGUAGUGCAGAGGUAGGCGGAAUUCCCGGUGUAGCGGUGGAAUGCGUAGAUAUCGGGAGGAACACCAGUGGCGAAGGCGGCCUACUGGGCACCAACUGACGCUGAGGCUCGAAAGUGUGGGUAGCAAACAGGAUUAGAUACCCUGGUAGUCCACACCGUAAACGAUGA